UACGGGGGGGGCAAGCGUUGUUCGGAAUUACUGGGCGUAAAGGGCUCGUAGGUGGCCAACUAAGUCAGACGUGAAAUCCCCAGGCUCAACUUGGGAACUGCGUCUGAUACUGGAUGGCUUGAAUUCGGGAGAGGGAUGCAGAAUUCCAGGUGUAGCGGUGAAAUGCGUAGAUAUCUGGAGGAAUACCAGUGGCGAAGGCGGCUUUCUGGACGGUAACUGACGCUGAGACGCGAAAGCGUGGGGAGCAAACAGG
rnacentral:rRNA from 1 species